CCUGUCUACGCAGGUCGGGAUGUGAUUCCCCGCCGGAUGGCGUCGGGAAUUGAACCACACG
rnacentral:ncRNA from 1 species